UAGGGAAUCUUCGGCAAUGGACGAAAGUCUGACCGAGCAACGCCGCGCGAGUGAAGAAGGUUUUCGGAUCGUAAAACUCUGUUGUUAGAGAAGAACAAGUACGUUAGUAACUGAACGUCCCCUGACGGUAUCUAACCAGAAAGCCACGGCUAACUACGUGCCAGCAGCCGCGGUAAUACGUAGGUGGCAAGCGUUGUCCGGAUUUAUUGGGCAUAAAGCGAGCGCAGGCGGUUUCUUAAGUCUGAUGUGAAAGCCCCCGGCUCAACCGGGGAGGGUCAUUGGAAACUGGGAGACUUGAGUGCAGAAGAGGAGAGUGGAAUUCCAUGUGUAGCGGUGAAAUGCGUAGAUAUAUGGAGGAACACCAGUGGCGAAGGCGGCUCUCUGGUCUGUAACUGACGCUGAGGCUCGAAAGCGUGGGGAGCAAACAGG
rnacentral:rRNA from 1 species